UACGUAGGGUGCAAGCGUUGCCCGGAUUUAUUGGGCGUAAAGGGCGCGUAGGCGGUCAGCACAAGUCAGUUGUGAAAUCUCCGGGCUUAACUCGGAAAGGUCAACUGAUACUGUGCGACUAGAGUGCAGAAGGGGCAACUGGAAUUCUCGGUGUAGCGGUGAAAUGCGUAGAUAUCGAGAGGAACACCUGCGGCGAAGGCGGGUUGCUGGGCUGACACUGACGCUGAUGCGCGAAAGCCAGGGGAGCGAACGGG
rnacentral:rRNA from 1 species